rnacentral:rRNA from 1 species
UCGCUUCUCUGUAACCCGAAAGUAUAAGAGGUCCCGCCUGCCCUGUGACUAUAUGUUUAACGGCCGCGGUAUUUUGACCGUGCGAAGGUAGCGCAAUCACUUGUCUUUUAAAUGGGGACCUGUAUGAAUGGCAUAACGAGGGCUUGACUGUCUCCUCUUUCAAGUCAAUGAAAUUGAUCUCCCCGUGCAGAAGCGGGGAUGAAUACAUAAGACGAGAAGACCCUAUGAAGCUUUAGACACUAAAGCAGAUCAUCAUUAACACCCUAAACAACAGGGCAUAAACCAACUGAACCCUGCCCUAUAUGUCUUUGGUUGGGGCGACCGCGGAGAAAUAAAAAACCCCCGCAAGGACCGAAUGUACUACAUUCACAACCAAGAGCGACAGCUCUAAUUAACAGAACUUCUGACCAAUAAGAUCCGGCAAUGCCGAUUAAUGAACCAAGUUACCCUAGGGAUAACAGCGCAAUCUCCUCUUAGAGUCCAUAUCGACGAGGAGGUUUACGACCUCGAUGUUGGAUCAGGACAUCCUAAUGGUGCAGCCGCUAUUAAGGGUUCGUUUGUUCAACGAUUAAAGUCCUACGUGAUCUGAGUUU